rnacentral:rRNA from 1 species
CCUACGGGUGGCAGCAGUGGGGAAUAUUGGACAAUGGGGGCAACCCUGAUCCAGCCAUGCCGCGUGUGUGAAGAAGGCCCUCGGGUUGUAAAGCACUUUCAGUGAGGAAGAACGCCUGGUGGUUAAUACCCAUCAGGAAAGACAUCACUCACAGAAGAAGCACCGGCUAACUCCGUGCCAGCAGCCGCGGUAAUACGGAGGGUGCGAGCGUUAAUCGGAAUUACUGGGCGUAAAGCGCGCGUAGGUGGCUUGAUAAGCCGGUUGUGAAAGCCCCGGGCUCAACCUGGGAACGGCAUCCGGAACUGGCAAGCUAGAGUGCAGGAGAGGAAGGUAGAAUUCCCGGUGUAGCGGUGAAAUGCGUAGAGAUCGGGAGGAAUACCAGUGGCGAAGGCGGCCUUCUGGACUGACACUGACACUGAGGUGCGAAAGCGUGGGUAGCAAACAGGAUUAGAUACCCUGGUAGUC